GGAGGGUACAAGUAGUUGCUUUUGAGUCUGAGUUCCUAGGAGCCCCUGCCUCUUUUUGAGAUUUGGUUCUUUUAUAGAUGACCUUGUGAAUUUCAGAAGGCAUGAAGGUCUGAAAUUUCUGCCAGCUGGCUGGCAUACUAUCCAUGGGCAAAGAGUCUCACUGGCACCUACUGGAGUGACAACACUUACUGCCAAGAUAGUCAAGCUGAUCAAAUCUGUGCAUCAAGAAAAUUCAUAUCAGUGUUUCCAAGAGAAAAUAACAAAGAAUGGAGUCAGGGAGACCAAUAAGGAGGCACUAAAAUUGCCCAGCUGAAAAUGAUAAAGGUUUGAACUUCGAAGUAUCUGGAAUGGUGGAAAGAAUAGAAUGGCAGCCAUUCUUUCACUGAACCAUGAAAAUCUGAGCUAUAGACCAAAGUGUCUGUGGCCUCUGUUUCCUAUCUCUGUGGAGUCUUUCUUUUAUCUUUGAUUUCCACUUUUAA